rnacentral:rRNA from 1 species
AUUGAGCGCUGGCGGCAUGCCUUACACAUGCAAGUCGAACGGCAGCGGGGGAGAAGCUUGCUUUUCCUGCCGGCGAGUGGCGAACGGGUGAGUAAUACAUCGGAACGUGCCCUGUAGUGGGGGAUAACUAGUCGAAAGAAUAGCUAAUACCGCAUACGACCUGAGGGUGAAAGUGGGGGACCGAAAGGCCUCAUGCUAUAGGAGCGGACGAUGUCUGAUUAGCUAGUUGGUGGGGUAAAGGCCUACCAAGGCGACGAUCAGUAGCUGGUCUGAGAGGACGAUCAGCCACACUGGGACUGAGACACGGCCCAGACUCCUACGGGAGGCAGCAGUGGGGAAUUUUGGACAAUGGGCGAAAGCCUGAUCCAGCAAUGCCGCGUGUGUGAAGAAGGCCUUCGGGUUGUAAAGCACUUUUGUCCGGAAAGAAAUGGCUCUGGUUAAUACCUGGGGUCGAUGACGAUACCGGAAGAAUAAGGACCGGCUAACUACGUGCCAGCCGCCGCCGUAAGAC